CAGGAUAGGCGGGAGCCAUUGAAACCGGAGCGCUAGCUUCGGUGGAGGCGCUGGUGGGAUACCGCCCUGACUGUAUUGAAAUUCUAACCUACGGGUCUUAUCGACCCGGGAGACAGUGUCAGGUGGGCAGUUUGACUGGGGCGGUCGCCUCCUAAAGUGUAACGGAGGCGCCCAAAGGUUCCCUCAGAAUGGUUGGAAAUCAUUCGUAGAGUGCAAAGGCAUAAGGGAGCUUGACUGCGAGACCUAC
rnacentral:rRNA from 1 species